GACCGCGAGGCAUAAUGGAUACGGCACCAGACUUCGGAUAUGGGGAUUGUAGGUUAGAGUCCUGCCGUGGUCG
rnacentral:tRNA from 1 species